rnacentral:lncRNA from 1 species
GAGAAUUGGGGUGGGGCGCGCCAAGAGGAGCAAGCAUUAUAGAACGUGGGGAGCAUGAGAAAUACACGGAGGUGGAAACGCCGGAGUGGCUGGCGGGUAAAGGCAGCGGGCGCAGAUGAAGCGGGCUGGGCGUCCCACGCGCAGAACCGUCCCGGACAGAAGCCGCAGGGCUGCGCUGGCUGGAAAAAGGAACGCGAGUACAGCGCGCGUGGCGCGGGGUCUGCUCCAGGACGGAAUCUUUUGGGUGGCCCGCAUGAGGGGUUUGCAGGACCCCGGGCCUUUGGGAAGUUAUCUGCUAAACUCCAGUAGACCCUGAGGAGCAGCGGCUCAUGAAUCUUCUUAAACUUCUGUCAUCAGCGGCUGGGCCAGCUGAAGGUGACCAUGGCACACGAGGGAGAGAGAAGCCCGCGAGAGGCGGAGAAAUGUGGGGUCGUCCAGGAGGGUCGACAAGGCAAAGAACCUGAAGACGACCCAAAAGGGUACCUAGAGUUGAACUUCCUCUCUUUUUAGAAGAAUGGAUUUCUCGGAGUCUGAAAAAUUUAUGGUUCUUCUCUGGAAGAAUUUUAUUUUAAAGAGGCGGCGAUGUAUUGCUUUAGUUGUGGAAAUGGUCCUCACAUUUCUGUUUAGUGCUGCGCUUUUGGCAACACGCUCUGUUAUUACUAUAAAUAAGAACGGACCUUUCGAUUUUGCUGCUCAGCCUGUCGAUGAAGUGCCUUUCUACAUCACAGCUUCCUUAAUUUCUCCUUCUCCUUUGGAAUUGGCUUACGUGCCUUCCAGAAGUACUGUGGUUCAGGGUAUUAUUGAAAGAGUGAAAAUGGAUUUAAACCCUCAAAUGAAAGGUUAGAAAUUAACAUUUUCUGAAAAAACAUACAGAAUUACUAAAUCGAUUUAGUGAAGACAUACUUACAACCUUAUUAACUGGUUCUUAACCUCCCAAGUAAAACAUCGUUGGAAUCCUCAUACUAAGUAUAAAUAUUAUGGACUUUGUUAAACUUGAAAGUUAAAUUUAUAUAAAAUAUUUUGUUCAUAGAGCCCAGAACAAAUAGUAAUAUUUCAAAAUGAGAUGACCAAUUAUUAUUAUUAUUCUAAGUUGUUAUCCAGUUUUGUGAUACUGUUUUUUCUAUCUGGUUGUGCUUCUUGAACCUGGGUAAGUAUACCUCCAGGGGUGUGUGAUUUUGUGCCACAGGUCAGUGGUCAGUUAUUUAAAAUAAUGUUUUAUAUUAAAAUGUGGUGUGAGUAAUAUAGGAAGGCUUUAGAAAACACUUAAGCUAUGUAGAAUUAUUUUAAAAGCCCUCAGUCUCUCACUUACCUUCAUAUUCCCGGAUCAGUUUCUUACCUCUUUCUCUUAGAGGUAAAUACUGUGAGAAGUUUAGGUCGGCCGGGCCCAGUGGCUCACGCCUGUAAUCCCAGCAUUUUGGGAGGCUGAGGUGGGCAGAUCACCUGAGGUCAGGAGUUCAAGACCAGCCUGGCCAACAUGGCAAAACCCCAUCUCUACUAAAAAUAUAAGAAUUAGCCAGACAUGGUGGUAUGCACCUAUAGUCCCAGCUACUUGGGAGGCUGAGGCAUGCGAAUUGCUUGAACCCAGGAGGAGGAGGAGGUUGCAGUGAGGUGAAAUUGCACCACUGCACUCCAGCCUGGGUGACAGACCAAGACUCUGUCUC